rnacentral:rRNA from 1 species
UACGUAGGGUGCGAGCGUUAAUCGGAAUUACUGGGCGUAAAGCGUGCGCAGGCGGUUUUGUAAGCCAGAUGUGAAAGCCCCGGGCUUAACCUGGGAAUGGCAUUUGGGACUGCAAGGCUUGAGUUUGGCAGAGGAGACUGGAAUUCCUGGUGUAGCAGUGAAAUUCGUAGAUAUCUGGAGGAACACCGGUGGCGAAGGCGGCUUCCUGGACCGAUCACUGACGCUGAGGCGCGAAAGCUAGGGGAGCAAACGGG